rnacentral:rRNA from 1 species
UACAGAGGUGGCAAGCGUUGUUCGGAAUUACUGGGCGUAAAGGGCGAGUAGGCGGCCUUCUAAGUCAGACGUGAAAUCCCCCGGCUUAACCUGGGAACUGCGUCUGAUACUGGACGGCUUGAGUAUGGGAGAGGGAUGUAGAAUUCCAGGUGUAGCGGUGAAAUGCGUAGAUAUCUGGAGGAAUACCGGUGGCGAAGGCGGCAUCCUGGACCAUUACUGACGCUGAGACGCGAAAGCUAGGGGAGCAAACGGG